UGGGGAAUCUUGGACAAUGGGCGCAAGCCUGAUCCAGCCAUGCCGCGUGAGUGAUGAAGGCCUUAGGGUCGUAAAGCUCUUUCGCCUGUGAAGAUAAUGACGGUAGCAGGUAAAGAAACCCCGGCUAACUCCGUGCCAGCAGCCGCGGUAAUACGGAGGGGGUUAGCGUUGUUCGGAAUUACUGGGCGUAAAGCGCACGUAGGCGGAUUGGAAAGUAUGGGGUGAAAUCCCAGGGCUCAACCCUGGAACUGCCUCAUAAACUCCCAGUCUUGAGUUCGAGAGAGGUGAGUGGAAUUCCGAGUGUAGAGGUGAAAUUCGUAGAUAUUCGGAGGAACACCAGUGGCGAAGGCGGCUCACUGGCUCGAUACUGACGCUGAGGUGCGAAAGUGUGGGGAGCAAACAGGAUUAGAUACCCUGGUAGUCCACACCGUAAACGAUGAAUGCCAGUCGUCGGGUAGUAUACUAUUCGGUGACACACCUAACGGAUUAAGCAUUCCGCCUGGGGAGUACGGUCGCAAGAUUA
rnacentral:rRNA from 1 species